UUUAUGGAGAGUUUGAUCCUGGCUCAGAGUGAACGCUGGCGGCGUGCCUAAUACAUGCAAGUCGAACGAUGAAGCUUCUAGCUUGCUAGAAUGCUGAUUAGUGGCGCACGGGUGAGUAACGCAUAGGUCAUGUGCCUCUUAGUUUGGGAUAGCCAUUGGAAACGAUGAUUAAUACCAGAUACUCCCUAUGGGGGAAAGAUUUAUCGCUAAGAGAUCAGCCUAUGUCCUAUCAGCUUGUUGGUAAGGUAAUGGCUUACCAAGGCUAUGACGGGUAUCCGGCCUGAGAGGGUGAACGGACACACUGGAACUGAGACACGGUCCAGACUCCUACGGGAGGCAGCAGUAGGGAAUAUUGCUCAAUGGGGGAAACCCUGAAGCAGCAACGCCGCGUGGAGGAUGAAGGUUUUAGGAUUGUAAACUCCUUUUGUUAGAGAAGAUAAUGACGGUAUCUAACGAAUAAGCACCGGCUAACUCCGUGCCAGCAGCCGCGGUAAUACGGAGGGUGCAAGCGUUACUCGGAAUCACUGGGCGUAAAGAGCGCGUAGGCGGGAUAGUCAGUCAGGUGUGAAAUCCUAUGGCUUAACCAUAGAACUGCAUUUGAAACUACUAUUCUAGAGUGUGGGAGAGGUAGGUGGAAUUCUUGGUGUAGGGGUAAAAUCCGUAGAGAUCAAGAGGAAUACUCAUUGCGAAGGCGACCUGCUGGAACAUUACUGACGCUGAUUGCGCGAAAGCGUGGGGAGCAAACAGGAUUAGAUACCCUGGUAGUCCACGCCCUAAACGAUGGAUGCUAGUUGUUGGAGGGCUUAGUCUCUCCAGUAAUGCAGCUAACGCAUUAAGCAUCCCGCCUGGGGAGUACGGUCGCAAGAUUAAAACUCAAAGGAAUAGACGGGGACCCGCACAAGCGGUGGAGCAUGUGGUUUAAUUCGAAGAUACACGAAGAACCUUACCUAGGCUUGACAUUGAGAGAAUCCGCUAGAAAUAGUGGAGUGUCUAGCUUGCUAGACCUUGAAAACAGGUGCUGCACGGCUGUCGUCAGCUCGUGUCGUGAGAUGUUGGGUUAAGUCCCGCAACGAGCGCAACCCCCUUUCUUAGUUGCUAACAGGUCAUGCUGAGAACUCUAAGGAUACUGCCUCCGUAAGGAGGAGGAAGGUGGGGACGACGUCAAGUCAUCAUGGCCCUUACGCCUAGGGCUACACACGUGCUACAAUGGGGUGCACAAAGAGAAGCAAUACUGCGAAGUGGAGCCGAUCUUCAAAACGCCUCUCAGUUCGGAUUGUAGGCUGCAACUCGCCUGCAUGAAGCUGGAAUCGCUAGUAAUCGCAAAUCAGCCAUGUUGCGGUGAAUACGUUCCCGGGUCUUGUACUCACCGCCCGUCACACCAUGGGAGUUGUGUUUGCCUUAAGUCAGGAUGCUAAAUUGGCUACUGCCCACGGCACACACAGCGACUGGGGUGAAGUCGUAACAAGGUAACCGUAGGUGAACCUGCGGUUGGAUCACCUCCUUUCUAGA
rnacentral:rRNA from 1 species